UUUUUCCACUUCAAUAGAUAAAAUUACUUGUCAAAAUUUAAGUUUGUAAAACAUUUUACUUAAUAGUUGAAUAUAUUUUCUACAAAAAACAAUGGAUUUCUCCUCUAUAUGCUUCUUUAAAAUACUUAACUUACAAACCAUUCAUUUGUGACUGCCUUUACAUCUUUUAAAUUGAUUUAAUUUUAGGGGACCAUCUCAAUUUGGACUAAUACUCUGGCUCCAGAUACAAUACCCAAUUAAUUUCCCUAGCAGUAACUCCCCUGAGUAGUAAUGCUGAAUUUCAUAUUUAUUGUGCAAACUCAAGGAAAUUCAUAUUAUUUAAACAUUAUUUGUGUUGCAUGCUGAAAAUAAUUAGCUAUUAUAUUUUUGGAAAUGUUGGUACACAUUUUUUUCAGUCUAACAAGUUGUCUGGAAAUUUCACACAGAUGGUAUAAACUUCUGAGUUUACUGUUCCUAUAAGAAAGUUUUGCAUGGUUUCUUCUUUGGGUAGCUGCUAUGAAAUAGAUGUUUAAAAUUUAGCAGAAGCUUACCAGGCCCUCAGAUUUAUAAGCAGUUCCAUUGGGAAAGUCUUACUAAGACCAUGGGAUGUUUUGCAUAUGCAGAAUUUGCUUUUCGCCACUGAUGGGGCAUGAUGAAAAGACCGUUUACAGUCACAUACUGAUACCUCACAUUCAUAUCUACCACAGACAAAUGGGGAUCCACUUCCAGUAUGACAGUCUUGAAAGCCGAGUUUAUAAAUGGGCUAUUUCAGGCCAUGACAUUCCUUUACACUUCGCUUUCUUUUUACAAAAUCCAUCUUGCUUUGGAUUUAUAACCACGCUUAUCUCCAAAAUCCUGUAGCAAAAUCUAGCAAAAUCUCUGUUGUGUUCCUGAAUGAAGUAAAAGAAAUUGAGCUACAGCAAGGCUGUAAUAAUCGCUUUAAAAGGAUAAAAGCUAGCAAGUGCUCAGCUUGCAAUUGAACUGUACCUACAGCCACACUUUUUUGCUGUGUUUAAUAAAACCACUUUGAGGAAUUAUGCCAACCAACUUUGCUUGGAUGGAGUUUCCUCCCAUCAUUUUGCCUGUCUUCUCCCCAGAGAACAGGGAAUUCUAACAAAGGCUCUUGAUGAACACAUUCAGGAAUCUAAUCUCUUGAAACAAAAAUAUUAAUUAGAUUUCAUGCUCACAUGCAGGUGUUGUUAUAAAUAUAAUGCUUUGUGAAGCUAUGAAAAUUAUCUUUCCAAAUGAAUAAUUUUUUGUGUGUUACAGUAGUGAAAAAUUGUGGAAAAGUCUGACUUCCUUCCCACAGUUAUAAUUCAAUCUUCAUAUAUCAAAUAACCAUGGCAUCAGCUUCUCUUUUGUUCCAAAUAUAAAAAACACGCACAUUUCUUAUGAUUUAAGCUACUGCUUUUGAAUCUCUCCAUGUUUAGUCACACAUAGCAGUCAUUAGCAUAUUUGCUUAAUUUAUCAAAAUGAAAGACUAGACAAACCAGCACAUGGUAUAUAUAUCAAAAAAUAUUCAUUAUGCAUUUUAAACACUUUCCAUAGCAAAGAAUAUCAUGGAGUUAAAGCCCCAUUUUCCAGAAAAAUCAGUCUAGAGAUGCUGUAGUAAUUAUCUCUUCUGUGUAAACUAGUGGGAUUAACAAUUGAUUAGAUCAAGGUAACUUGAUUUAAAAAAUCUUAAAGUCUUGUUAAAAAGCCACACUGCUAAUUAGCUAAAACUAUUUCACAUUUAGCACAUAAAAAGAAUAAAAAGAAAAAAGAAGUAUUACAGCAAUCUGUGAUUACAAAUACCCCCACAGUUCAUUCUGCUGGAAGCUAUGUUUAGUUAGAAAUUUAAGACCUAGAACACUCAAUACAGCAGAAGGACUGAGAAUCAUUUCCCUAUAUAAUUAAUCUUGCCUGCCUAUAAAGAGAUCAAGAGGUCAACAUGCAGCCCAGAACCUUUAACAUGAAAACUCCAGGCUUCUCCCGAUUUAUGUCAAAAUGAAGUGCAUGCUGAUACUGUCACUACCGACAGUUUAUAGAAGGAGACUUAGAAUUGCUGACUGAGCACAAAAGUUCAAAAAUCAUUAGUUUUUAAAUACAAAAUGGUGGAGUUUUAAAAGUUCUAAUCCAUUUUGUUGUUGUUGUUGUUACGCAUGUAUAGCAACAGAAUUCCUGUCUUCCUUUCAAUCUUUCUUUGAGAAACAAGACAUUCAACAACUUGCUUUUAAUUUAUUAUCUGAUGUAAGAUUAAGAUAUAUUAAAUGUUGGAACGGUGGCAACAAUCAGCAAAGCAAUUAGUACAGCUGACUCUUUACAUCCAAAAAGUCUAAUCUGGGCAUCAGUCCAGAUGCCUUGCUAAACCAGGGUGCAGCACAUACAAACCCAGGUAUUUUUCUGAUGACAGUGACAAAAGAACUGUUAAAUGAACUCUAACGGCAAAAACGGAGGCAAAUUGUCCCUCUUUGCUCUGCCCAGACAAAUCCAGGUAUUGAAUCCAGUCAUGCCAAAUGAGUGACAAAAGCCCUCCUAUGGAACAAACCACAAAUCCUUUAUCUGGCUUUUUUAACCUUCCCUUUCACUGGAGUUUGAAUCUCCUACUACAUAUCAGCCACUCACAUUCUCAUUGUCCCCCCACCCACCUGUGAUUUUGAACACAGGGGGGUGGAGGUGAUUUAUAAAAAGGA